AAACGAUGUCGACCGGCAAUCUGCUCUCGUUAAAUUAAUGACUGAGCAGACGGCCUGCUGGAAACAAGAGUAUUUGGAUUCCAGGGGGAGUAUGGUUGCAAAGCUGAAACUUAAAAGAAUUGACGGAAGGGCACCACCAGGAGUGGAGCCUGCGGCUUAAUUUGACUCAACACGGGAAAACUCACCCGGCCCGGACACUGGAAGGAUUGGCAGAUUGAGAGCUCUUUCUUGAUUCAGUGGGUGGUGGUGCAUGGCCGUUCUUAGUUGGUGGAGCGAUUUGUCUGGUUAAUUCCGAUAACGAACGAGACUCUAGCCUACUAAAUAGAUCGUCGGCUUACAAACGCUGAUGAGACUUCUUAGAGGGACAGGCGGCGAUUCAGCCGCACGAAACAGAGCAAUAACAGGUCUGUGAUGCCCUUAGAUGUCCGGGGCCGCACGCGCGCUACACUGAAGUGAUCAGCGUGCAUUUUCAGCCUACUCUGCCAAGAGUGGGAAACCCAAUGAACCUUCUUCGUGAUUGGGAUAGGAGAUUGUAAUUAUUCUCCUUGAACGAGGAAUUCCCAGUAAGCGCGAGUCAUAAGCUCGCGUUGAUUACGUCCCUGCCCUUUGUACACACCGCCCGUCGCUACUACCGAUUGAAUGUUUUAGUGAGGUCUUCAGACUGGCCGGCGCAGCUGCUCUCGUAGUAGCAGCGCUGUGUUUGGGAAGAUGCCCAAACUUGAACAUUUAGAGGAAGUAAAAGUCGUAACAAGGUUUUCGUAGGUGAACCUGCGGAAGGAUCAAGGGCGAAUU
rnacentral:rRNA from 1 species